AAUGAUUCAAGAAUCAAAGUUAUUAGCACCUCAUGAUUACUCUGAGUAUCAUGAUGUCGAAUUAGCUAAUCUUGAAUCACAAUUUGGCAUGGCGUCCACAAUAACAGUUCCACAACAAAGUUUGAACCUUUUAAAGCAAUUUGAAAUUGAAAAUGAAGAAAUUAAUUCAAAUCUAUUUGGACAGCUAGAAGAAGAAUGUGCUCACUCAGUAUGUCGCCGGAUAUGUUGCAAGCAGAUUCAGCCAUAAAUAUCCAGAUUUAGUUGAUGAAACAGGUGAACACAAAGCUGGUUGGAUAAAAUAGUUAUCUAAAGGGAACCUGAAGAUACCUUCAGAAAAAAUAAUGAAUGCUAUGAAAAUUAUAGAAAUAGCUUUCAUAUAAUUCCAUGGUGAUAAUUUGGUUAAAACACCAUGGGUUAUGAAAACAUUAACUAAUAUAGUAUUACCAAAAAUCAAUUACCUUAAUAUACCUGUUGAAGUGGUUAAAUGCCUUGUACGAACCAGGACAUUUAUAAGGAUGAAUAAUCUAAAUAAAAUUGUAUUGGAAAAACAGUUACAUACUAACCGUAUUAAAAAGUCCAAAUUUACAAAUUAAAUUAUCACGAUUAAAA